GACGAACGCUGGCGGCGUGGAUUAGGCAUGCAAGUCGAACGGUAUCAUCCUUUCGGGGGUGAGAGAGUGGCGAACUGGUGAGUAACACGUAGGUUAUCUACCCUCAAGACGGGGACAACCCAGGGAAACUUGGGCUAAUACCGGAUGUGAGCAACUUUUAGUUGUUUGAAAGGUGGCGUAAGCUGUCGCUUGGGGAUGAGCCUGCGUCCUAUUAGUUAGUUGGUGAGGUAACGGCUCACCUAGGCAAUGAUAGGUAGGCGGCCUUAACGGGUGGUCGCCCACACUGGGAUUGAGAUACGGCCCAGACUCCUACGGGAGGCAGCAGUCGAGAAUAGUCUACAAUGGUCGGAAGACUGAUAGUGCGACGCCGCGUGAACGAUGAAUCCCUUCGGGGUGUAAAGUUCUUUUAUAUGUGAGCAGUGCUUCUUAUAUUAACAGUAUGGGGAGAGAGAUAUUAGCAUAUGAAUAAGCAACGGCUAACUCCGUGCCAGCCAGCCGCGGUAAACGC
rnacentral:rRNA from 1 species